rnacentral:lncRNA from 1 species
ACAAAUUCUUUGUUUGCUAAAAUUUUACUUUAUGAUUUGGUUAAAAUUUAUUGUUGUUGUUGUUGUUGUUGUUGUUGUUAAUUAAAAUUAAAAUUCGAGCUGCAUUGAAUAUAUCAUUGUAUAUAUCAUUUGAAUUUCCAUUAAAAUUCAAGCCUCAUUUUGCAAACGAAAGAUAUGGGGUCUCCUAUAUUAAUUUUUAGUGUUUGUUUCUGCUAGUGACUUAUUCAUGGUAUUUUUUUUUCUUUAAACUAAAAUCAAGAUAUUAGCAGAAUCAUAAAUGACAAAAUUGUACCUUUGGUUUUAUAUGAUUUCAAGUUGUUUUAUUUAUUAUUGGAAUUUAUAAAAAUAUUAUCAUCAUAUUUUAUAUACCAUUGUAUAGAAACUUGUUGAUGGUCAAAAAUAAUUUUUUUAAUUC